ACGCUGGCGGCAGGCCUAAGACAUGCAAGUCGUACGCGAACGACCUUUCGGGGUUAAGUAGAGUGGCGAACGGGUUAGUAACGCGUGGGAACAUACACAGCACAGGGGGAUAACCAUUGGAAACGAUGGCUAAUACCGCAUACGCCCUAUUGGGGAAAGAUUUAUCGGUGUUGGAUUGGCCCGCGUUAGAUUAGCUAGUUGGUGGGGUAAUGGCUCACCAAGGCGACGAUUUAUAGCUGGUUUGAGAGGAUGAUCAGCAACACUGGAACUGAGACACGGUCCAGACUCCUACGGGAGGCAGCAGUCGGGAAUAUUGUGCAAUGGGGGCAACCCUGACACAGCCAUGCCGCGUGAGUGAAGAAGGCCUUAGGGUUGUAAAGCUCUUUCAGAUGUGAGGAUGAUGACGAUAGCAUCAGAAGAAGCUCCGGCUAACUUCGUGCCAGCAGCCGCGGUAAUACGAAGGGAGCUAGCGUUGUUCGGAAUUACUGGGCGUAAAGGGCGUGUAGGCGGAUUAUCAAGUUAGGGGUGAAAUCCCGGGGCUCAACCUCGGCACUGCCUUUAAGACUGAUAAUCUAGAGUAUGUGAGGGGAUAAUGGAAUACCUAGUGUAGAGGUGAAAUUCGUAGAUAUUAGGUGGAACACCAGUGGCGAAGGCGAUUAUCUGGCACAUUACUGACGCUGA
rnacentral:rRNA from 1 species